ACGAACGCUGGCGGCGUGCCUAAUACCUGCAAGUCGAACGCUUCUUUCCUCCCGAGUGCUUGCACUCAAUUGGAAAGAGGAGUGGCGGACGGGUGAGUAACACGUGGGUAACCUACCCAUCAGAGGGGGAUAACACUUGGAAACAGGUGCUAAUACCGCAUAACAGUUUAUGCCGCAUGGCAUAAGAGUGAAAGGCGCUUUCGGGUGUCGCUGAUGGAUGGGCCCGCGGUGCAUUAGCUAGUUGGUGAGGUAACGGCUCACCAAGGCCACGAUGCAUAGCCGACCUGAGAGGGUGAUCGGCCACACUGGGACUGAGACACGGCCCAGACUCCUACGGGAGGCAGCAGUAGGGAAUCUUCGGCAAUGGACGAAAGUCUGACCGAGCAACGCCGCGUGAGUGAAGAAGGUUUUCGGAUCGUAAAACUCUGUUGUUAGAGAAGAACAAGGACGUUAGUAACUGAACGUCCCCUGACGGUAUCUAACCAGAAAGCCACGGCUAACUACGUG
rnacentral:rRNA from 1 species